rnacentral:lncRNA from 1 species
GAAACGCGGUGAUGCCCAUGUGCUAGAAGAGGAAACGGAGGCGCACGUGUCACUAGCACGUGUGGAAGCCACAUCUGGCACUUGCCUUCUGGGACUUCUAAGCCUCUCACCCACAAGGGCAUGGCUCUGGGACCUGACAGCUGUUUCCCAUCUCCGGUCUAAGGGAGAAGAAAGCCACCGAACAAGCAACUCCAAUAUUGUACCAUAAGAACAAGGGCAGCGGG